UACAGAGGGGGCUAGCGUUGUUCGGAAUUAUUGGGCGUAAAGAGCUCGUAGGCGGUUUGUUGCGUCGGCUGUGAAAUCCCGAGGCUCAACCUCGGGUCUGCAGUCGAUACGAGCAAACUAGAGUGUUGCAGGGGAGACUGGAAUUCCUGGUGUAGCGGUGAAAUGCGCAGAUAUCAGGAGGAACACCGGUGGCGAAGGCGGGUCUCUGGGCAACAACUGACGCUGAGGAGCGAAAGCGUGGGGAGCGAACAGG
rnacentral:rRNA from 1 species